GAUCUAGCUUGCUAGAUGCUGACGAGUGGCGCACGGGUGCGUAACGCGUAUACAAUCUACCUUUAACUGAGGGAUAGCCCAGAGAAAUUUGGAUUAAUACCUCAUAGUAUUAUAAUUAGGCAUCUUUUUAUAAUUAAAACUUCGGUGGUUAAAGAUGAGUAUGCGUACUAUUAGCUAGUUGGUAAGGUAAAAGCUUACCAAGGCAACGAUAGUUAGGGGGCCUGAAAGGGUGAUCCCCCACACUGGUACUGAGACACGGACCAGACUCCUACGGGAGGCAGCAGUGAGGAAUAUUGCACAAUGGAGGAAACUCUGAUGCAGCCAUGCCGCGUGCAGGAAGAAUGCCCUAUGGGUUGUAAACUGCUUUUAUACAAGAAGAAACCUCGGUACGUGUACCGACUUGACGGUAUUGUAUGAAUAAGCACCGGCUAACUCCGUGCCAGCAGCCGCGGUAAUACGGAGGGUGCAAGCGUUAUCCGGAUUUAUUAGGUUUAAAGGGUCCGCAGGCGGAAUAUUAAGUCAGUGGUGAAAGCCUACAGCUCAACUGUA
rnacentral:rRNA from 1 species